UGAAAUUUUUAAAACUGUUUUAAACAUAAAUGUCCUUUGUGUUUAAAAGUUUUUAAAAAUAAUUUUUAAAAAUUACUUGUAGGAUAUUACUUAUAAGUCACUUUGUGUGUGUGUGUGUGUGUGUGUGUCUGGGUGUGUGUGUAUAUUGAACUCAGAGCCUUAUGCAUGCAAGGCAAGUGUUCUACCACUGCACUCCAC
rnacentral:sRNA from 1 species